rnacentral:rRNA from 1 species
GUGCAGCAGUCGCGAAACUUCCCCAAUGCGCGCAAGCGUGAGGGAGUGAGCCCGAGUGCCGCCCGCUGAGGGCGGCUGUUCCCGGGUGUAAACAGCCCGGGGUAGGAAGGGGAGGGUAAGGCUGGUGCCAGCCGCCGCGGUAAAACCAGCUCCUCGAGGGGUCCCCACGCAUACUGGGCCUAAAGCGUCCGUAGCCGGCCCUGUAAGUCCCCGGUUAAAUCCACCGGAAGACCGGUGGGCUGCCGGGGAUACUGCGGGGCUAGGGAGCGGGAGGGGCCGAGGGUAUUCCGGGGGAUAGCGGUAAAAUGCGUAGAUCCCCGGAGGACCACCAGUGGCGAAGGCGCUCGGCUGGAACGCGUCCGACGGUGAGGGACGAAAGCUGGGGGAGCAAACCGGAUUAGAUACCCCUGUAGU